rnacentral:tRNA from 1 species
AAAACCCUUAUUAUACAAAAAGGAUAUAAUUGAAGCUGCUAACUUUAAUUAGGGGGUGUAAAUCCUCCCCUUUUUUUUGC